GAUGAACGCUGGCGGCGUGCUUAACACGUGCAAGUCGAACGGUGAACACGGAGCUUGCUCUGUGGGAUCAGUGGCGAACGGGUGAGUAACACGUGAGCAACCUGCCCCUGACUCUGGGAUAAGCGCUGGAAACGGCGUCUAAUACUGGAUACGAACCGCGAAGGCAUCUUCAGUGGUUGGAAAGAAUUUCGGUUGGGGAUGGGCUCGCGGCCUAUCAGCUUGUUGGUGAGGUAAUGGCUCACCAAGGCGUCGACGGGUAGCCGGCCUGAGAGGGUGACCGGCCACACUGGGACUGAGACACGGCCCAGACUCCUACGGAGGCAGCAGUGGGGAAUAUUGCACAAUGGGCGAAAGCCUGAUGCAGCAACGCCGCGUGAGGGAUGACGGCCUUCGGGUUGUAAACCUCUUUUAGCGGGGAAGAAGCGAAAGUGACGGUACCUGCAGAAAAAGCGCCGGCUAACUACGUGCCAGCCGCCGCGGUAACAC
rnacentral:rRNA from 1 species